UAGGGAAUCUUCCGCAAUGGGCGAAAGCCUGACGGAGCAACGCCGCGUGAGUGAUGAAGGCCUUCGGAUCGUAAAACCCUGUUAUUAGGGAAGAACAAAUGUGUAAGUAACUAUGCACGUCUUGACGGUACCUAAUCAGAAAGCCACGGCUAACUACGUGCCAGCAGCCGCGGUAAUACGUAGGUGGCAAGCGUUAUCCGGAAUUAUUGGGCGUAAAGCGCGCGUAGGCGGUUUUUUAAGUCUGAUGUGAAAGCCCACGGCUCAACCGUGGAGGGUCAUUGGAAACUGGAAAGCUUGAGUGCUGAAGAGGAAAGUGGAAUUCCAUGUGGAGCGAUGAAAUGCGCAGAGAUAGGGAGGAACACCAGUGGCGAAGGCGACUUUCUGGUCUGUAACUGACGCUGAUGUGCGAAAGCGUGGGGAUCAAACAGG
rnacentral:rRNA from 1 species